UGCGGGAGUAAGGGCUGCUGGAACCUUAGCGCCCUCCUCCCCCAGAGAAGAAAUGGGCAAGUUCGAGGCCCGGUCCGCACGGAGGGCGACAGGCGCGUCCUGUGGGCGCGGGGUGAGGGCAGACACACUCGGAGCCAGAGGGAUCCCGAGUCUCUGGGAGAGGCGUGGGCGGUGGGGCAGGGGUGCGGGCAGGAGGCAGGCUCGCCCUGCGGCGUGGACACCCGGGGAGCUGCGCGCUCGGGGAGCCGCGGGGCGGGGGCCGGCCGCCCUUCUCCGCGCCCCCUCGCCGGCCCCUUCCUCAAGCGCACAGGCCCCCAGGCUUUCCCUUCCAUCUUAGGCCUCUUCCUCCGCGAACUCCCGGGCCCGCUCCUCUCCGCACGCCCUUGCCGCCUGCUGCGCUCUAAGGGCCGCGUUCCCUCCACGCCCUCCGCAUCCUGCCCUCUUGCGGGUCCCUCUCUCCGCCUUUCCCCCGUCCUCGCCUGCGGCUCCUUCGCCUUUUCACCGUCUCUCGGCGUCUUCUCUUGCCGUCACCUCCCAAGCCGGAAACUUAUCCCGACCGCGAGGACCCUCGCAGGCACGGGUGUUCCCCGCGGGGUCUGCGGGUCCCAGCGCCGCUCCCCGCGCCACGAGCGCCCCGCCCAGUCCCUGGCGCCACUCGGAAGCCCCGACCGCGGCACCCCUUUCGCCCAGAGAGACUCCGCGGGCCGGAAGCGGGCUGGGGUGGGGGGGGCUCCCUUCUCAGUAGCGGGUUCCUCCGAGAGCGGGGAAGCUGGGGGACCGCGGACGGAUGCGGGCUCCGCGCCCCGCGGGCCCUCGCUCCAGCGGAACCGCGCACUCCACAGCGCCGCGGCGGGUCUGCGGGGGCUGGGGGAGGCAACAAGUGACCGGACUUGCAGAGAUCCCGGCCCCUGUGGCUGGGACCGCGGCCAACGCACCCCUGGGGAGGGGGCUGGCGGGGCGGCCCGAGGCGAAGCUGCUUCCGCGCCCGCUUUGAGGCGCCGGCUUGAGGGAGAGGCGGGGCGAGCUGCAGGAGCGCGGGGACCGAGCUCUCCCAAGUCCGAAGCCGCCGUCCCCGGCUCCUCCGGCACCCGCGCCACCAGCACCAUUUCAAGGGCUGGGGGGCUGGGUGGAGACGGUGCGGAAGCGGUCCCCGCGGAAGCGUUUCGGGACGUGGGGUGA
rnacentral:lncRNA from 1 species